ensembl:misc_RNA
UCGAAAGAACAUGAAAUGGAGGAGAAAUUACAGCAAUUUAUCAACUGAAAUUAUAGGUGUAGACACAUGUCAGCAGUGGAAACAGUUUCUAUCAAAAUUAAAGUAUUUAGAGAUUUUCCUCAAAUUUCAAAU